CCCUCGGUUGCUCAGUUGGAUAGAGCGUCUGCCAUGCAAGCAGGAGAUCCCGGGAUCGAGUCCCGGCCGAGGGA
rnacentral:tRNA from 1 species